CUGAUGGGGUUAUAGCCCUACGGUAGGGUCAUAGGCCUGAACUAUAAGUCCUACCCAAGGGCACCUCAUUAUUAGGUUGAAGGUCACAAGAUACCUAUCGACUGGAUCAAGGCAACCUCUUGUCCACUCGAUAGAAAACCACUCGGAGGAUUAUCUUAUACUCGACGACUGGACUACACUCGGUGAAGACGAGAAGCCAGUCGACAUAGAAGGCCAUAAGCCAGCUCAGGGAUGCUAACGGUGAUACGUUAGACUACUGUAGUUAUUGUCAUUUAUGCAACGUAUGCAUUUAAUCUCACUUAUUGCACCCUUGAAGGCUGGACACUUAUGAGGGGCAGUGCACUCUAUAUAAGCCACCCCUCCCCUCUGGCACAAGGGUUCGCAUUAUGUAACACCUAUAU
rnacentral:lncRNA from 1 species